UGGGGAAUCUUGCUCAAUGGGCGCAAGCCUGACGCAGCAACGCCGCGUGAGUGAAGAAGGCCCUCGGGUCGUAAAGCUCUGUUGUUGGGGACGAAGGGCGAAGGGUUAAUAGCCUCUAGCCUGACGGUACCCUUCGAGGAAGCCCCGGCCAACUACGUGCCAGCAGCCGCGGUAACACGUAGGGGGCGAGCGUUGUCCGGAAUUAUUGGGCGUAGAGGGCGCGUAGGCGGCCCGGUAAGUCCGCUGUGAAAUCCUGGGGCUCAACCCCAGGCUGGCAGUGGAUACUGUCGGGCUAGAGGACGGUAGAGGCGAGUGGAAUUCCCGGUGUAGCGGUGAAAUGCGCAGAUAUCGGGAGGAAUACCAGUGGCGAAGGCGGCUCGCUGGGCCGUUCCUGACGCUGAGGCGCGAAAGCUAGGGGAGCAAACCGGAUUAGAUACCCGUGUAGUCC
rnacentral:rRNA from 1 species